UUGCAAUGAUGAUCUUAUAUUUAGUAGAAAGCAUUAAUCCAAUGCUUGAUGAAACUUCGACAUUCAAGUCGAAGCUGAGCGGUUACCUGAGCAA